AAUGAACGCUGGCGGCGUGCCUAACACAUGCAAGUCGGAUGUGCCCGCAAGGGUGCAUGGCAGACGGGUGAGUAACGCGUGGGGAACCUACCUCUUUGUGGGGAAUAACGUUCCGAAAGGAAUGGUAAUACCGCAUGAGACCAUGGACUGGGAUGUUCAUGGUGAAACCCCGGGGGACCGAAAGGGCCUGGGGGCAAGGAGAGGGUCCUGCGUCUGAUUAGCUAGUUGGCGGGGUAACGGCCCACCAAGGCGUCGAUCAGUAGCCGGCCUGAGAGGGUGAUCGGCCACACUGGAACUGAGACACGGUCCAGACUCCUACGGGAGGCAGCAGUGGGGAAUUUUGCGCAAUGGGCGAGAGCCUGACGCAGCAACGCCGCGUGGGUGAUGAAGGUCUUCGGAUUGUAAAGCUCUUUCGCAAGGAAAGAAAACUUAUCUCCUAAUACGAGGUGAGGUUGACGGUACCUUGAUAAGAAGCACCGGCUAACUACGUGCCAGCAGCCGCGGUAAU
rnacentral:rRNA from 1 species